rnacentral:lncRNA from 1 species
CAUAUGCCUUCGAAACCUCUACUAUGGCCAUGCUAAGGACCUUUUCCCAAAAGGAUCACAUCUCAUAAAUCAGAUUCAGAUAUCUAAUAUUUGAACAAUCUGAACUUUAGGACAAGCAAUAAUUGCUUUCUAUUUUUCUUUUGAUUUUCUUUCUAAUUUUCCUCUUCUUUUUCUUGUCUUUUCCUUUCCUUUUCUUUUCAGACUUUUUUCCCUUCUUUUUCUCACAUAAUCCCAUGCCUAAAGCCCUUA